GUGACAAGUGUGGUGACAAAAACAAUUGAUAAUUCAUUGUGCGUAUUUGAAAAGAUUCAAAGGGACAAUGAACAGAAUGUAGUGUUUUGAGGAACACCAGACGUCAGAGAAGAAAAUGGUCCAGAGAAUUCCGAAUACUCAGGCUGAAACUGAAUGCAUGCAACGAAAGGAAUUGAUGACAUCGGGAAGAUUGUAUCAACAGUGGAAUUUCUUCAUUUAACACUAAACCUACUGAAAUUUUUUAAUACCUAUUCUUACCAUACCCGAUCAAAUUGACCGGUACUGAAACAGUUAUUAGAGACUACACUAUCGCCUUCUUACAGUCUUGGAUGUUUUAGAAACUCACCUAGAGGCCAUUUCAUCCAUUCACAGCAAGAACGACCCACCGCUUCUUUCCCCAUAUGGUAACAAUUUGGACAGAAAGAAUUCUUCUGAUCAGUUUUUUGACCAAAGGAAUAGAGAUAGCUACUUAGAAUAUUGUGACAACCCCUCCAAGUGUUAAUGUAAGGAAUCCAAAUACCAUAUAUGGAUUUUCUUCUCAUCCUACUCCUUUGCAUCCAGAAACCACUCUUUUGAGAAUAUCUCAAAAACUAAAUCAUCGAUUCCUUUCAUUUUUGGGUAUUUUUUAGAGGUAGUCAAGGCGGACAUUUCGUCCUUAGGAACCAAUACUUUCCAAAAGUUCCUUCCUAGCAUUUUCAAGGUCAGUGGUCAAUUUAUUUAGGAGAUUGGAUUUUUCGACGGAUUUGAAAAAUAAAUAGUUAAAAAUACUAACCUUAAAACUGUGAGGAGGAGUUUUUGAGGAGUAUUGGUUCCUAGUAUCUGCGUAAACGUUAUCUUAAAUAAAUUUCUUUUAUUUAAAUGGGAUCAACUUUUUACCAAUUAGUUGCCCCUUCAUAAAAUGAUGUCACGCGGUAUUCAUAUGUCAUUGGAUAUAGCGCGCGGAGCAAACCUAACCUGGAAAUUCUGUAAUCAUUGAAAA